UACGAAGGGGGCAAGCGUUGUUCGGAAUUAUUGGGCGUAAAGCGCGUGUAGGCGGCAGUGCAAGUCGGGUGUGAAAGCCCUCAGCUCAACUGAGGAAGUGCGCCCGAAACUGCAUUGCUUGAGUACCGGAGAGGAUGGCGGAAUUCCCGAAGUAGAGGUGAAAUUCGUAGAUAUCGGGAGGAACACCGGUGGCGAAGGCGGCCAUCUGGACGGAUACUGACGCUGAGACGCGAAAGCGUGGGUAGCAAACAGG
rnacentral:rRNA from 1 species